rnacentral:rRNA from 1 species
AUUGAACGCUGGCGGCAGGCCUAACACAUGCAAGUCGAACGGUAGCACAGAGAGCUUGCUCUCGGGUGACGAGUGGCGGACGGGUGAGUAAUGUCUGGGAAACUGCCCGAUGGAGGGGGAUAACUACUGGAAACGGUAGCUAAUACCGCAUAACGUCGCAAGACCAAAGUGGGGGACCUUCGGGCCUCACACCAUCGGAUGUGCCCAGAUGGGAUUAGCUAGUAGGUGGGGUAAUGGCUCACCUAGGCGACGAUCCCUAGCUGGUCUGAGAGGAUGACCAGACACACUGGAACUGAGACACGGUCCAGACGCCUACGGGAGGCAGCAGUGGGGAAUAUUGCACAAUGGGCGCAAGCCUGAUGCAGCCAUGCCGCGUGUAUGAAGAAGGCCUUCGGGUUGUAAAGUACUUUCAGCGGGGAGGAAGGCGGUGGAGUUAAUAACUUCACCGAUUGACGUUACCCGCAGAAGAAGCACCGACUAACUCCGUGCCAGCCGCCGCCGUAA